rnacentral:rRNA from 1 species
UACGAAGGGGGGCUAGCGUUGUUCGGAUUUACUGGGCGUAAAGCGCACGUAGGCGGAUCGUUAAGUCGGGGGUGAAAUCCUGGGGCUCAACCCCAGAACUGCCUUCGAUACUGGCGAUCUCGAGUCCGGAAGAGGUGAGUGGAACUCCUAGUGUAGAGGUGGAAUUCGUAGAUAUUAGGAAGAACACCAGUGGCGAAGGCGGCUCACUGGCCCGGUACUGACGCUGAGGCGCGAAAGCGUGGGGAGCAAACAGG